GUGUCAGGAGCCGCGGUAAUACAGAGGGUGCGAGCGUUAAUCGGAUUUACUGGGCGUAAAGCGUUCGUAGGCGGCUUUUCAAGUCGGAUGUGAAAUCCCUGAGCUUAACUUAGGAAUUGCAUUCGAUACUGGGAAGCUAGAGUAUGGGAGAGGAUGGUAGAAUUCCAGGUGUAGCGGUGAAAUGCGUAGAGAUCUGGAGGAAUACCGAUGACGAAGGCAGCCAUCUGGCCUAAUACUGACGCUGAGGUACGAAAGCAUGGGGAGCAAACAGGCUUAGAAACCCUCGUAGUCC
rnacentral:rRNA from 1 species